ensembl:lncRNA
CUGAGUUUAAAUGGGCUCCUAGGCCACGGCUGGAGGAUGGUGGAGGCUCCAGCUAUUUCUGUGAAGUCCCAUACUCAAUUCACAGCUGGCAGGGAGCAAAAACGUGUUGCUCUUAGGACUGUAAGUAUGGAGGCUAAGCCACUGGGGAGAAGAAAUGUGGUGCUUCAUCCUCCUGGCUCAAGUGCAGAACCUGAAAAGGCUAGAGCACAAUCAGAGCUCCCAGAUGGGUCAGCAGGAGGAGCUGCUGCUUCCCCGUGGUCUGAAACGCUUUAGGAAACUGGAGCUUGUGUGGCUUGGACCAUUUGCUUUCACACAGAUGAAGAAGUCAUGCAAAGGACACCUCAAGAUGGAACACCGUGAGCCUACAGGGCCUGAGAGCAGUGUUUUGAUCCACAGCUACAGCAGUGACUCCGAACCAUUUGGUCACAGGUCUGGAGGUGCUGGUGUAUCAGAAUGGACCCGAUCACAUACUGUGACUGAGAUGUCGGCGCUGAGCCGAUUUAAGCUUGUUUGAAGGAUGAAAGUCACUGCUGGCUGUGCUGGGGCUGAGAAAUUACACCUGGCGAUAAUAUUAUGAUCUUUUUUUUCUUCUUUAAGAGCUCUUUGCACUCUUCCUCCAUGCUGUGCUCACGUCAGGAGCAGGGAGGAGGCAACAGAGGAAUUGCUCUGGAGUGCUAUUUUAGCCCAUUCCCACUUGCUGUCUGUUCCUCAGCAAGCAGGGUGACAUUUUUCUCCUUAACGUGACAGCUCACAUUCAGAUCAUCCCAUUUUGGUGAUGCAUGUGCUCAGGAUCUGUUUAAUCAGGGAUUUAACAGGAGGGAGUAGGGGGAGGCAGAGCAUGGCUGCGCUGAGGGGCUGAGAAGCAUUGAAUGUGCUCACUCAGCCGCAGGGGCUGAGCACCACAGCCACUUUGCUCAGGAAAGCAAUAAGAAAAAGGAGAUGGGACACUGCCAUUUGGAACAGCCCUGAGACAGCGCCGGAGAGGAAUCCCCUCAUGGCGCUGAGUAGGUCUCCUAGUCAGAGCAGGGCUCGGUGGAGCUCUGAGGGCAGUACCAGGGCCGG